rnacentral:rRNA from 1 species
GAUGAACGCUGGCGGCGUGCUUAACACAUGCAAGUCGAGCGAAGCACUUAAGUUUGAUUCUUCGGAUGAAGACUUUUGUGACUGAGCGGCGGACGGGUGAGUAACGCGUGGGUAACCUGCCUCAUACAGGGGGAUAACAGUUAGAAAUGACUGCUAAUACCGCAUAAGACCACGGUACCGCAUGGUACAGUGGUAAAAACUCCGGUGGUAUGAGAUGGACCCGCGUCUGAUUAGGUAGUUGGUGGGGUAACGGCCUACCAAGCCGACGAUCAGUAGCCGACCUGAGAGGGUGACCGGCCACAUUGGGACUGAGACACGGCCCAGACUCCUACGGGAGGCAGCAGUGGGGAAUAUUGCACAAUGGAGGAAACUCUGAUGCAGCGACGCCGCGUGAAGGAUGAAGUAUUUCGGUAUGUAAACUUCUAUCAGCAGGGAAGAAAAUGACGGUA